AACGUAGGACACAAGCGUUAUCCGGAGUUACUGGGCGUAAAGGGCGUUUAGGCGGGUGAUUAAGUUCGCUAUGAAAGCGCCAGGCUAAACCUGGCGAGGCUGGCGGAUACUGGUCAUCUGGAGUAAGGAAGAGGGAGGUAGAAUUCCGCGUGUAGUGGUGAAAUGCGUAGAGAUGCGGAGGAAUACCAGUGGCGAAGGCGGCCUCCUGGUCCUUAACUGACGCUGAGGUGCGAAAGCGUGGGGAGCGAUCCGG
rnacentral:rRNA from 1 species